rnacentral:lncRNA from 1 species
UUGGGAAACUAAGUGCCUGGUUCUAUUCCGAUUUUAUUUAAAUUGUAUCUAUAAAGAAAAAUUCGAGUUUGGAGUUUUCAACUGCUCAAAAUAUUAAUAAUUGAUGAGGAUGAUGUGGGUUUGAUCAAAAUUCCACCAUAAUAUAUUUUUGAAAACUUUUAAUUAAAAACCUUGUAAAUCCAACUUCAAAUUUGAUUAAAAAAAAAUCACUCUUAAUGUAAUAGCUAAUUUUGGCCUAAAAGAACCCAAACUAAAUAAACAAAAAAAUAGUCCAAUACAUGGCCCAAAAUUAAAACAAAACCUAAUUAAAAUCCUAAAGCCCAAGUCAGCCCACUAUCUUAAACUUUUUUUCAGCAGCCACCCUAACCUUAGCCACCAAAGUUCAGCCGCCACUCCCUCCUCUGCCCUUGGCCAUCACGCGCGCCACCACCACCACCGCUUGGGGCACCAACCAUCGGCCUUCCACGCGUCUGACACCUGCAAGACGAAACUAGCACGCGAAACACAAGAAACGAAGAAGAAAAAAACAAAAAAACGAAUCUAUGUAAUUCGGUUAUAAAAGUGGAAACAUCCAUUUGUAGUUUUUUUUUUGGGGGACACGAACUUUAGCAAACAAAAUCACAAUAGCAAAAAAACAGGAAGGUUGAUUUUAUUUCUAGUCUUGUUCUAUGUUCUGAUUUCAUUUAUUUUUUGUAUUAUUUGUUUUUUUAUUUUUAUUUUUAUACGAAAAUAGACAAAGGAAAGAGGAGGGGAAGAGAGUCUUACCGGAUCUACACCGUGGCCGCGUCGUCAGAGCUCCCCUCUCCGUUUGACACGGUGAACCGCCGACAAUGAUGGGUGUUGAAACCCUAACUCCAAGAGAAAAAGGGGUGGGGGAGUAUUCUCUGUUUUUUUUUCAAACAGGGAGAAAGCAAAAUAAAAGAAAAAAAAAUAAACAGAUUUAAAUACUGCAUGAAACAGCGUCGUUUGGGCAAAGGAGAAGGGUCAGUGUGCCUAAAAUGGGAUAUUUUCGGUUAUGGCCCCUCUUUCUUUCCUGAGUCAUU